GUGGAUCGGUGUUUCUUAAAAAGCUCAAGACGACGUCCUCAGAUGUCUCGUUUUGUCCACAACUCAAAGACAUUGAGCUUCCUGUCCCAGAGGAGAGAAGACACUAGAAGAUGUUCACAUUUAACGAGCUGACAUCUGAACUUUUACU